rnacentral:lncRNA from 1 species
UCCACCUUGGCACUAGGUGUGGUGUCAAAUAUGUGACUGUAUCGGCAGUGGUUACAUCUAAGCCGGUGAGCAUAAGCACAUCGGCAAGAGUGGGAGAAGCAGGGCCAUGGCUGAAGACAAAGGCAUUAAGUGUGUCUCACUAGAAAUAUGAUGCAGCAAUCAGCAAUGAUUCAUUCUUAUGCAUAUUGGCAAGAGAUAGCCUAAUGCAGUGGUCUAGCUUUCGUUCGCCCCAUUGAACCUCAUUCGAAUGGCUGACUCUCAAGAACCAAUCCUUCCAUCCCACGGUAGAACUGGGCCAAGAACGGAAGGUAUCUUUCCACAGAUCUAGAGAAAAAUUGUCGGCUCUAAAGGGGAUUCUGUUUGUUUCGUGCGUUGAUCAGAUCGGUGGGAUCUGGGUUCCCUAGCGGACCGAGACAUUGGAGGUGUGGCUGAUCGGUAGGGAUGACAAUUUUAUUAGAUUAAUCCUAGAAGUUUUUAAGGAUAAAAAGAAGAACAAAAGAAAAAAAGAGAAGAGUGUUCAGUAAAAUAAGUUGCGGAUGGACAAAGGUAUGGUAAAGGUACAAGAGGUGGGGUGAUGAACUGACCUCAGGAACAGCCAAGUUGAUGGCCAUCUCCUUGCGAGGAAGAUGAUCGGAGACUUUGAGGUUGGUGGAGAAAAGCCUUCGUUGG